GACGAACGCUGGCGGCGUGCUUAACACAUGCAAGUCGAACGCUGAAGCUCAGCUUUUGUUGGGUGGACGAGUGGCGAACGGGUGAGUAACACGUGAGUAACCUGCCUCCUUCUUUGGGAUAACGCCCGGAAACGGGUGCUAAUACCGGAUAUGCACUCGUCCUCGCAUGGGGGUUGGGGGAAAGGGGCUUUCUGGUGGGGGAUGGGCUCGCGUCCUAUCAGCUUGUUGGUGGGGUGAUGGCCUACCAAGGCUUCGACGGGUAGCCGGCCUGGGAGGGUGACCGGGCACAUAGGGAGUGAGAUACGGCCGAGACUACGACGCGGGGCAGCAGUGGGGAAUAAGGCGCAGUGGGCGCAAGAGUGAGGCGGCGACGCCGCUGGAGGGGUGGCGGCCGGCGGGUUGUGAAGCUCUUUGGCUCAUGAUCUAGCCUUAACAAUGGUGGUAGUGAGGGUAGUGGGUAAAGAAGCGCCGGCUAACUACGUG
rnacentral:rRNA from 1 species